GAUGAACGCUGGCGGCGUGCCUAAUACAUGCAAGUCGAGCGAACAGACGAGGAGCUUGCUCCUCUGACGUUAGCGGCGGACGGGUGAGUAACACGUGGAUAACCUACCUAUAAGACUGGGAUAACUUCGGGAAACCGGAGCUAAUACCGGAUAAUAUAUUGAACCGCAUGGUUCAAUAGUGAAAGACGGUUUUGCUGUCACUUAUAGAUGGAUCCGCGCCGCAUUAGCUAGUUGGUAAGGUAACGGCUUACCAAGGCGACGAUGCGUAGCCGACCUGAGAGGGUGAUCGGCCACACUGGAACUGAGACACGGUCCAGACUCCUACGGGAGGCAGCAGUGGGGAAUCUUCCGCAAUGGGCGCAAGCCUGACGGAGCAACACCGCGUGAGUGAUGAAGGUCUUCGGAUCGUAAAACUCUGUUAUUAGGGAAGAAAAAAUGUGUAAGAAACUAUGCACGUCUUGACGGUACCUAAACAGAAAGCCACGGCUAACUACGUG
rnacentral:rRNA from 1 species